rnacentral:rRNA from 1 species
AUUGAACGCUGGCGGCAUGCCUUACACAUGCAAGUCGAACGGUAACGGGCCUUCGGGUGCCGACGAGUGGCGAACGGGUGCGUAAUACAUCGGAACGUGCCCGAUCGUGGGGGAUAACGAGGCGAAAGCUUUGCUAAUACCGCAUACGAUCUACGGAUGAAAGCAGGGGACCGCAAGGCCUUGCGCGGACGGAGCGGCCGAUGGCAGAUUAGGUAGUUGGUGAGAUAAAAGCUUACCAAGCCGACGAUCUGUAGCUGGUCUGAGAGGAUGAUCAGCCACACUGGGACUGAGACACGGCCCAGACUCCUACGGGAGGCAGCAGUGGGGAAUUUUGGACAAUGGGCGCAAGCCUGAUCCAGCCAUGCCGCGUGCAGGAUGAAGGCCUUCGGGUUGUAAACUGCUUUUGUACGGAACGAAAAGCCUUCUUUUAAUACAGGAGGGUCAUGACGGUACCGUAAGAAUAAGCACCGGCUAACUACGUG